UAUAUAAAAAUAUAUACAUUUUUCAUUUCAGAUGAAUUGUAGCCUGAGUGACCUCAACAAGAUCGAAAUCACAAUAUUCCUGGAAAAUGGGUAAAGGAGUGAGCCCAUGAAUUCUUACAAGUCAUCAUGAGAAUUAUUGAGGCAACAAAUGUAACUGACAUAAGUUAUUUUUUAUUUAUUGUUGAAGGAAUAAUUGUAUUCUUAUAUAUUCUAUUUUGUAAUAUUGGUAUUUAUUUGUCAAUAAAUGAUAAUGUGACAGUCAUUUUGCC